rnacentral:rRNA from 1 species
CCUACGGGAGGCUGCAGUAGGGAAUCUUCCGCAAUGGACGAAAGUCUGACGGAGCAACGCCGCGUGAACGAAGAAGGUCUUCGGAUCGUAAAGUUCUGUUGUUAGGGAAGAACACGUACCAUUCGAAUAGGGUGGUACCUUGACGGUACCUAACGAGAAAGCCCCGGCUAACUACGUGCCAGCAGCCGCGGUAAUACGUAGGGGGCAAGCGUUGUCCGGAAUUAUUGGGCGUAAAGCGCGCGCAGGCGGUUCUUUAAGUCUGAUGUGAAAUCUUGCGGCUCAACCGCAAGCGGUCAUUGGAAACUGGAGAACUUGAGGACAGAAGAGGAGAGUGGAAUUCCACGUGUAGCGGUGAAAUGCGUAGAGAUGUGGAGGAACACCAGUGGCGAAGGCGACUCUCUGGUCUGUAACUGACGCUGAGGCGCGAAAGCGUGGGUAGCGAACAGGCUUAGAUACCCCGGUAGUC